GUAACCGCCGGUGAUAAGCCGGAGGAAGGUGGGGAUGACGUCAAGUCCUCAUGGCCCUUACGCGCUGGGCUACACACGUGCUACAAUGGCAAGUACAGUGGGCAGCAAUCCCGCGAGGGUGAGCUAAUCUCCAAAACUUGUCUCAGUUCGGAUUGUUCUCUGCAACUCGAGAGCAUGAAGGCGGAAUCGCUAGUAAUCGCGGAUCAGCAUGCCGCGGUGAAUACGUUCCCAGGCCUU
rnacentral:rRNA from 1 species